ensembl:snoRNA SNORA62 Small nucleolar RNA SNORA62/SNORA6 family
ACUGCACAUGGUUAGAGCUUAGAGUUGAGGCCACUGGCUGGCCGAUGACUCACAAGUGUAGGUAGGGCACCACGAGAGGGCCAAGUAUUUCACUAACAUCACAAGGGUCUCCGGCCCAAUGAGUGGAGUUUGAUAGUAAUUCUUGCUACAGUU